rnacentral:rRNA from 1 species
UUUUCCAGCCAUGUCACCCUGCAACUUACAAUUGGCAACCCACUGAAGCUAAGCAGGUGUGAGCCUGGUCAGUACCUGGGUGGCAGACCUCCUGGGAAAAACUAAGGUUGCUGCUGGAA